rnacentral:rRNA from 1 species
AUUGAACGCUGGCGGCAGGCCUAACACAUGCAAGUCGAGCGGAGCGGCGGAAGGGUGAGUAAUGCCUAGGAAUCUGCCUGGUAGUGGGGGAUAACGUCCGGAAACGGGCGCUAAUACCGCAUACUAUCAGAUGAGCCUAGGGCGGCUUAGCUAGUUGGUGGGGCAAAGGCCUACCAAGGCGACGAUCAGUAAGUGGUCUGAGGGGAGGAUCAGUCACCCUGGAACUGAGACACGGGCCAGACGCCUACGGGAGGCAGCAGUGGGGAAUAUUGGACAAUGGGCGAAAGCCUGAUCCAGCCAUGCCGCGUGUGUUAAGAAGGUCUUCGGAUUGUAAAGCACUUUAAGUUGGGAGGCGUUACCAACAGAAUAAGCACCGGCUAACUUCGUGCCAGCAGCCGCGGUAAUAC